rnacentral:rRNA from 1 species
ACGUAGGGGACGAGCGUUGUCCGGAUUUACUGGGCGUAAAGGGAGCGUAGGCGGUCAUUUAAGUCAGCUGUGAAAUGUAUUGGCUUAACCGGAACAUGCGGUUGAAACUGGUUGACUUGAGUGCUGGAGAGGCAAGUGGAAUUCCCAGUGUAGCGGUGAAAUGCGUAGAUAUUGGGAAGAACACCGGUGGCGAAGGCGACUUGCUGGCCUGCAACUGACGCUGAGGCGCGAAAGCGAGGGGAGCAAACGG